GGGCAGCAAAGCAACAACAUAUAUAUUACUUAAUUAUAAUAUAAAGAUAGUUGCAUAUAUAUGGUGAAUAUCAUCACCGGAAUUUGUAAAUACUAAAUAGUACAUUACUCCCUUGACACAUGCACUUAAACACACAAAUCCCGACUUAAAUAAAUAGCUAGCUUGCUGCCCUAGCUAAACUAUUGAACGCCUAAUUAUCUUCAUCAUCAUUGUCUCUUUCAUGAGGAGAUCCAAAUUCAAUGUUAAUUCUCAUGGCGAUAGCAUGAAUAUCCAACGGAUUAGUAUCACGACUAACAAUUACAUCAAAUGUACGUUCGGGGCUAGAGGGAAUGACUGCAAUGCAGUAUGUUCCUCUCUCAUUUGUAAUUCUUAUAGAUCAUCCCAAAAUUUGUGUUUGAAAUUUUCAUGAGAUCCGUGGGAAUUACAAUGAGAGAGGAACAAAUUGGAUUGCAGUCAUUCUCUCUGGCCCCAAACAUACCGUUGAUGGAAUUGUUAGUCGUGAUACUAAUCCGUUGGGUAUUCGUGCUAUCAACAUGGGAAUUAACAUUAAUUGAAUUUGGAUCUCCUCAUGAUAGUGAUGAUGAUGUUGUUGUUUCGCUCAAUCCUACCUUGCAUCUCUACAUACGUGCCAUGCCAGAUACAUGGUGUCAUGGUGAUACCUUGAAUUCCACACGAGGAUAUUGUUCUUCAAUCACCAAACGCUGAAAUUGUUCCCUAAACUCAGCGGGUGUUUCAACCCUCACACUGUGGUAAUCUCCGUUGUCCAUGAUUCCUACCAUAUUAUUAAAUUAACACUAUUAAUAAUUUAAUCUAGACUUUAAAACAAAAUCUUAAAUUUUGAUAAAUACUUCUUCAAAUAUAUGCACAUAUUAAAUCAUCAAGAUUUGAAAACCUCAAACAACGUGGAAAUAACAAGCUCAUUUUUCCAAUAUUAUAUCAAUAGUUGAAAAUCUUCCCUUCAACACUAACAGAUGUGUUCAUGGCUCCAUUUUUGCCUUCACAUAUUUGAUCAAUAGGCUAUAUGAAAUGAUAGAACCAAGUGCAGUCAUUUGUAUCUGUUUUUUUUUACUACUUUUAAGCACAAGAUUUAAUGAGAUUUCUACUACCCUUAAUAGAAGAUAAAUAUAGAUGUCUUUUACUAUGUUUGGACCUUGUACUUUGUUCGGGUUGAAAUACCCUUAUAUACUCUCUUAAUUAAUAAAAAGUUUUGCUUAUAUAGAAAAAUACUAGAAUAUCAUAGUUUAAGGUUCUUGGUUAUCAUUUCCUCAAGAGGAUCAAACCACAUAUUUUGAGUAUCAAGAGUCAUUAGCUUUUAAUUAAAGCUUCAUCAUUUACAACAAAAUAAGAACUUGGUGUCUUGGAGACCACCAUCUCUAACAAAAGAAAGAGAGAUAUUUGUCUCAAAAACUACUUGUAAACUUGAAAGGAAAAAUAUGAGCUUUUAUCAUAAAGACAUCAAGAACAAAUAAAAUCUUUAAGAAGAAAAGUUGUAGAAGGAGGUGAAGAAGAAGUCUUUAGAAGUAUGAAGAUGAGGAAUAUUGGUCAUUCAUACCAAUGGGGGAAAGGAGAAUUGCUCUUAAUUCUUUACUAACACUCUCUCUUUUCUCUCUCUCUCUCUCUCUCAAUUCUCUGAGUAC
rnacentral:lncRNA from 1 species